UACGUAGGGUGCAAGCGUUGUCCGGAAUUAUUGGGCGUAAAGAGCUCGUAGGCGGUUUGUCGCGUCUGCUGUGAAAACCCGAGGCUCAACCUCGGGCCUGCAGUGGGUACGGGCAGACUAGAGUGCGGUAGGGGAGAUUGGAAUUCCUGGUGUAGCGGUGGAAUGCGCAGAUAUCAGGAGGAACACCAAUGGCGAAGGCAGAUCUCUGGG
rnacentral:rRNA from 1 species